AGGAGAAGUUGGAACAUGGCUUGGGGUAGCCUAGUGCCCCGGCUGUGAGGUCUCUUUCCUGG
rnacentral:miRNA from 1 species